GAUUUCUGGUAGUGCGCACCCAGGCGACGGGAGCAAUCCCGCCUGUCCUGGUGUUCUGUGCAUGCCAUCCUGCACGCUACCUCCACGUAUCUUAACUGUACGGGGAGUGUACGUGCUCUUUUACUUUGAAAAAAUUAGAGUGUUUAAAGCAGGUGUUGCGCCUUGAAUACAUUAGCAUGGAAUAAUAAUUUAGGACUUCUUCCUAUUUGUUGGUUUCCCUUUAGGAUUGAAGUAAUGAUUGAUAGGGAUAGUUGGGGGUGCUAGUAUUCAUCGGCCAGAGGUGAAAUUCUUGGAUUCGAUGAAGACUAACUAAUGCGAAAGCAUU
rnacentral:rRNA from 1 species